rnacentral:rRNA from 1 species
AGUGAACGCUGGCGGUAGGCCUAACACAUGCAAGUCGAACGGCAGCACAGUAAGAGCUUGCUCUUACGGGUGGCGAGUGGCGGACGGGUGAGGAAUACAUCGGAAUCUACUCUUUCGUGGGGGAUAACGUAGGGAAACUUACGCUAAUACCGCAUACGACCUACGGGUGAAAGCAGGGGAUCUUCGGACCUUGCGCGAUUGAAUGAGCCGAUGUCGGAUUAGCUAGUUGGCGGGGUAAAGGCCCACCAAGGCGACGAUCCGUAGCUGGUCUGAGAGGAUGAUCAGCCACACUGGAGCUGAGACACGGUCCAGACUCCUACGGGAGGCAGCAGUGGGGAAUAUUGGACAAUGGGCGCAAGCCUGAUCCAGCCAUACCGCGUGGGUGAAGAAGGACUUCGGGUUGUAAAGCCCUUUUGUUGGGAAAGAAAAGCAGCAGGUUAAUACCCCGCUGUUCUGACGGUACCCAAAGAAUAAGCACCGGCUAACUUCGUG